CGGGGGAGCAAGCGUUGUUCGGAUUUACUGGGCGUAAAGGGCGCGUAGGCGGCGUGACAAGUCACUUGUGAAAUCUCCGGGCUUAACUCGGAACGGUCAAGUGAUACUGUCGUGCUAGAGUACAGAAGGGGCAACUGGAAUUCUCGGUGUAGCGGUGAAAUGCGUAGAUAUCGAGAGGAACACCUGCGGCGAAGGCGGGUUGCUGGGCUGAUACUGACGCUGAGGCGCGAAAGCCAGGGGAGCGAACGGGAUUAGAUACCCCGGUAGUCCUGGCCUUAAACGAUGAAUGCUUGGUGUCUCGGGUUAUAAAGUCCCGGGGUGCCGUCGCUAACGCUUUUAGCAUUCCGCCUGGGGAGUACGGUCGACAAGACU
rnacentral:rRNA from 1 species